GGAAGUGAUUCACGUAAAAUCUACAUUGUACAUUAAGUGUAAAUUGAUGGCACUUAAACUCCUUACAUAUAACUUUGUUAUAUGUUAAGGGUCCAGUUUAAUGUCACAAUUUUCAUAUAAUCUGUUUAUAAUGUAGUUUACCGCAUUUCUACCUUCCUUAAUAAAAAAAGAAACGUCGCGACCCAUUGGAUUCCAGUCAAAGAUAUUAUAGAAAGUCCCAUAUAACCAGGCAUUUUUUAUAAAUGUCCUGUUUUUGUUGUAUGUGGUUCUAUAAAUUUAUCUGACUGAUUAUUCGAUGGUAUCAAAAAUUAAGAAUAACCCGCACAUUGAUGCGUUUGAAUAUUUUUGUAAUUAUUUUUUUUCAAUGUGACUCUUUUAUUACGGAUCUAAUGGUCCGUAUAAAAGUAAGCAU
rnacentral:rRNA from 2 species